rnacentral:snRNA from 1 species
AGCUUUGUGUAAUGGUAGUAUCAUAGCCAGUGAGGUGUAUCCAAGACGUGAUUGUUGCUAACAGAAAAGUAUAAUAUGUAAUC